rnacentral:lncRNA from 1 species
UCGCCGCAUAGUCACGCACGCGGUUAAUUGGGCCCAGCUUGUUGCGUAUUUUGGGCGGCUACAACGCGGGGGGCAAAGGAGAAAUACACGCGAGAGACCAACCGCCAGCCCGCGCCCGCGCUGAAACCUCCGGCCGCUCCGCCCCGCCCUGCGGCGCUGCCGGCGAAAUUCGUGCCAUGGACGGGUAGACUAGCCUCCCCCACUCAUCCGUACGCUCGCGACCCCGCCGCCAACGCCGCCGCUGCCUCGAGCGCAAACCCUAGCGCAGAUUUCUCCGCCGACGGCGCCGCACCCACUCCGACCGCCACGCUCGCCCGCGGACUCUUCAUGCCGCCACGGGUGACCUCGCAAGGGGUCGUCGCACCGCCGGCCGUUGCGAACACACGAAGCAUCGCCUCCAAGCGGCCACAGUCUGCUGCGGCGAAUGGAAGCCAAAAGAAGAGCAAGGCGAAUGCCGGUCGUGGUGUGAAGCCUCCGGCCGCCUUCCAGCCUCCGCCACCGCCGCCCGAAGCGCCCCCGAGCUCGCAAUUUGGUGCGCCACCGGCCGCGCCUAAUGUGUUCGAGGAAAUUCCCACAAGGUAUAAGAUUUUAUUUUAUUUUUUGUUGUUGUGAGAUAGAUGGCUAUAUACGAAUGGCUUGAUGUGUGUGUGUGUGCUAUGGUGUAUUGUAGUAUGGCUUGAUGAUGCAUAUUUGUCAACUAUGAAUGUUGGGUCAAACAAUUCAUAUGAUCAUUGGUCUCAAACCAACAAAGUUCAUCAAGAAGACCACGAAUAUGAAGUGGAUGAGGAUGGUGUGAGGUUGAUCGAUGCACCGAAAGGAAGGUCGGCAAUCUACACCAUGGACAAGGACAUUUUACUAUGCAAGACAUGGGUGGCAUGAGUUUUGGGUCUCUCAUUGAAGAAUUUGGAGGGAUGGGAGGCAUGAGUGCACCUCCGGGUGACAUUGGAGACAUGAGUGGCAUGGGAGCAUCUGGAGGUAUGGGUGGGAUAGGUGGCAUGAGUGCACGUCCGGGUGGCUUUGGAGGCAUGGGAGCACCUAUGGGUGGAGGCACGCCUUCCGUUGCGCCGAUGCCUUCUGUGGAUGGUGGCACUAGUGCAAACACCGUCCGAGUUUCAAAUGAAGAGGAAGAGCAUGAUGGUGAUGAUGAGGAGGAAGAAGAUGAGGAGGCAUGAAUGUUGAUGUUUAUUUGUUUGUGUGAACCUAUAUUUGUGUGAACUUGCAUGUGGUUUCAUACUUUGAACUAUGUCCUCAUUUGAACUAUGAUAUGUUGGUGGUAUGAAUCAUGAUGUUCCUAUUUUUAGAUCAUUUUAUUUGGUUCAUAUUGUCAAAUUGAUAUGUGUUGUUUCACAUUUUGCCAAGCACCGGAUGGUCGCGCACGCUGCACUAUCGAGCGCCUAUUGAAGCGCUACCAGCACAUGCUUAUUUUUUGCACGUCUGGAAACCACCGCGUCGCUCCUGCGCGCCAAACCGCUAAUUCGGCGCUAGAAAUUUUAUUUUGGGCGCUGCACUUUCGUGCGGCUAUUGGAGAUGCUCUAACCAUGUUAAAGGGCACACUAGAUAUUAAGAAAAAAAAUUAAAGGGUGCCUAGAAAUUUUUUGUUCCUUUGUGUGGACCCAUAUUAUAUUCUCUAAGUAUGGUUUUAUCAUUUUUUCUGUAAAGAGUAUGGUUCUGAAAAAAGCUAGAGUAUAUCAAGCCAUCAGGUAUAACCCCCGAGAGCAUGUCAUCAGCUUGCUUAUUCUCUGGAGUGCCAUCUUAUGUGUCGAGCAAUUCUUCUCAAAAUUCUCACAUUCAUUGGGUUCUCCGACCUGCCUUGCCAGUGGCACCGUUUCUGAUUACGUGCCAACGAAAGGAAUUAGGGUUUUCUGGUAUGGUUUUUGAUUCGGUUUGAAUGGCUAACCUUUCGUCCGAUUCAGCAUGAAUCAAGUUCUUAAGGCACUCCACUAUGAUUGUGUAUGGCACUCCACUAUGAUUGUGUAUCAAUAUUUGCAUGCUUGUAGGAAUAGAUUUAGAUUUUGUGCUAGUUUUUUUUUGAUUUUUUUGGGGGUUUAUUGGUAGUUUGUACUGGUGUAUUCAAAAAGGUUGUUUUUGUGGUCAAUUUGACACAAUCAUCUAUGCUUUGUUGUUCCAGGACCAAGAAGUGACAAGUUCCCAGUGCAAUUUUAUAAUGGUUUUUUUUCAUGGGUGAUGGAAGCAAGAGAGCUCAUGUUGAUGGACAUCAAGUCUGAUAUGGCUAAACCUGGGAAUAUUUUGGAUUGGAACCGUAGUUUCGUCUUUGGAUGUGAUUUAAUGGGUUGAGCCCCUAAUAUUAUCUGGUGCGGUUUGUGUUUUGGGUAUUACAAGCAAAUAUGCCUGUGCGUGCAAGCGGAGACAAAAAAUCUAUGCGCUAGCCAAAUAAGUAUGACUCAAUACCCUGACAUAUGAGCGUUUUCUAUUUUAACACGGUGGCUCACCAUGUUGCCACUUAUUUC